AAAAAUACUUUUUUAAAGGUGAAGUGUUAAAGUUUUGUUGUUUACCUAGGACUUUGUGCCCGAAGUUUCCUUUGUUUCAUGGACUAUCUGUGGACUCCAAGCUUUCUUAGGAGGGGAAAAGAAGAUACAGGAGAAGUCUGAGAAUUCUGUC
rnacentral:lncRNA from 1 species